rnacentral:rRNA from 1 species
UACGGGGGGGGCAAGCGUUGUUCGGAAUUACUGGGCGUAAAGGGCUCGUAGGCGGCCAACUAAGUCAUACGUGAAAUCCCUCGGCUUAACCGGGGAACUGCGUCUGAUACUGGAUGGCUUGAGUUCGGGAGAGGGAUGCGGAAUUCCAGGUGUAGCGGUGAAAUGCGUAGAUAUCUGGAGGAACACCGGUGGCGAAGGCGGCAUCCUGGACCGAUACUGACGCUGGAGGAGCGAAAGCCAGGGGAGCAAACGGGG